rnacentral:rRNA from 1 species
CUGGUGGGUAGUUUGACUGGGGCGGUCUCCUCCCAAAGAGUAACGGAGGAGCACGAAGGUUAGCUAAUCCUGGUCGGACAUCAGGAGGUUAGUGCAAUGGCAAAAGCUAGCUUGACUGCGAGAGUGACGGCUCGAGCAGGUACGAAAGUAGGUCAUAGUGAUCCGGUGGUUCUGAAUGGAAGGGCCAUCGCUCAACGGAUAAAAGGUACUCCGGGGAUAACAGGCUGAUACCGCCCAAGAGUUCAUAUCGACGGCGGUGUUUGGCACCUCGAUGUCGGCUCAUCACAUCCUGGGGCUGAAGUAGGUCCCAAGGGUACGGCUGUUCGCCGUUUAAAGUGGUACGCGAGCUGGGUUUAGAACGUCGUGAGACAGUUCGGUCCCUAUCUGCCAUGGGCGUAGGAAAAUUGAGAGGGUUUGCUUCUAGUACGAGAGGACCGAAGUGAACGCACCGCUGGUGUUCGGGUUGUGAUGCCAAUUGCAUUGCCCGGUAGCUACGUGCGGGAUAGAUAAGUGCUGAAAGCAUCUAAGCACGAAACUAGCCUCGAGAUGAGUUUUCCCUGAAGAGAUUCAGUAAGGUCCGUUUGAGACUAAGACGUAGAUAGGUCAGGUGUGUAAGUGUAGUGAUACAUUGAGCUAACUGAUACUAAUGAACCGAGAGUCUUAACCUUACAACUC